rnacentral:rRNA from 1 species
AUUGAACGCUGGCGGCAGGCCUAACACAUGCAAGUCGAACGAGUGGCGGACGGGUGAGUAAUGUCUGGGAAACUGCCCGAUGGAGGGGGAUAACUACUGGAAACGGUAGCUAAUACCGCAUACCAUCGGAUGUGCCCAGAUGGGAUUAGCUAGUAGGUGGGGUAACGGCUCACCUAGGCGACGAUCCCUAGCUGGUCUGAGAGGAUGACCAGCCACACUGGAGCUGAGACACGAUCCAGAGUCCUACGGGAGGCAGCAGUGGGGAAUAUUGCACAAUAGACGCAAGCCUGAUACAGCCAUGCCGCGUGUAUGAAGAAGGCCUUCGGGUUGUAAAGUACUUUCAGCGAGGGGGCGUUACUCGCAGAAGAAGCACCGGCUAACUCCGUGCCAGCCGCCGCGGUAAUUC